rnacentral:rRNA from 1 species
AUUGAACGCUGGCGGCAGGCCUAACCCAUGCAAGUCGAGCGGAGCGGCGGACGGGUGAGUAAUGCCUAGGAAGCUGCCUGGUAGUGGGGGCUAACGUCCGGAAACGGGCGCUAAUAUCGCAUACUAUCAGAUGAGCCUAGGUCGGAUUAGCUAGUUGGUGGGGUAAAGGCCUACCAAGGCGACGAUCCGUCACUGGUCUGAGAGGAUGAUCAGUCACACUGGAACUGAGACACGGGCCAGACUCCUACGUGAGGCAGCAGUGGGGAAUAUUGGACAAUGGGCGAAAGCCUGAUCCAGCCAUGCCGCGUGUGUUACGAAGGUCUUCGGAUUGUAAAGCACUGUAAGUUGGGAGGCGUUACCAGCAGAAUAAGCACCGGCUAACUUCGUGACAGCAGCCGCGGUAAUUC